rnacentral:tRNA from 1 species
GGGGAUUUAGCUCAGUGGUAGAGAGCACUUGCCUAGCAAGUGCAAGGCCCUGGGUUCGGUCCCCAGCUCCG